rnacentral:rRNA from 1 species
UGGGGAAUAUUGCACAAUGGGCGCAAGCCUGAUGCAGCCAUGCCGCGUGUAUGAAGAAGGCCUUCGGGUUGUAAAGUACUUUCAGCGGGGAGGAAGGCGAUGCGGUUAAUAACCGCGUCGAUUGACGUUACCCGCAGAAGAAGCACCGGCUAACUCCGUGCCAGCUGCCGCGGUAAUACGGAAGGGUGUAAGCGUUAAUCGGAAUUACUGGGCGUAAAGCGCACGCAGGCGGUCUGUCAAGUCGGAUGUGAAAUCCCCGGGCUCAACCUGGGAACUGCAUCCGAAACUGGCAGGCUUGAGUCUCGUAGAGGGGGGUAGAAUUCCAGGUGUAGCGGUGAAAUGCGUAGAGAUCUGGAGGAAUACCGGUGGCGAAGGCGGCCUCCUGGACGAAGACUGACGCUCAGGUGCGAAAGCGUGGGGAGCAAACA